AAUAAGGGUUUCUGCGCCGAAGAUGUAACGGGGCUCAAGCCACGAGCCGAAGCUUAGGGUGUAGUCCGCAAGGGCUACGCGGUAGCGGAGCGUUCUGUAAGCCUGCGAAGGGCGACUCGUGAGAGCGCCUGGAGGUAUCAGAAGUGCGAAUGCUGGCAUGAGUAACGACAAACACUGUGAAAGACAGUGUCGCCGAAAGUCCAAGGGUUCCUGCGUAAAGUUAAUCUUCGCAGGGUUAGCCGGUCCCUAAGGCGAGGCCGAAAGGCGUAGUCGAUGGGAAUGCAGUGAAUAUUCUGCAGCCAGUGGAUGGUGACGAAUCCCGUGUGUUGUCCGACCUUAAUGGAUUGGUUGGGCUUCGAAGGGGUUCCAGGAAAUAGCCUCCACAUUAGACCGUACCCGAAACCGACACAGGUGGACUGGUAGAGUAUACCAAGGCGCUUGAGAGAACUAUGUUGAAGGAACUCGGCAAUUUACCUCCGUAACUUCGGGAUAAGGAGGCCCAUUGCUCGCGCAAGCGGGCAGUGGGGGCACAGACCAGGGGGUGGCAACUGUUUAACAAAAACACAGGGCUCUGCGAAAUCGCAAGAUGACGUAUAGGGUCUGACGCCUGCCCGGUGCCGGAAGGUUAAGAGGAGAGGUGCAAGCCUUGAAUCGAAGCCCCGGUAAACGGCGGCCGUAACAAUAACGGUCCUAAGGUAGCGAAAUUCCUUGUCGGGUAAGUUCCGACCUGCACGAAUGGCGUAAUGACUUCCCCGCUGUCUCCAACAUAGACUCAGUGAAAUUGAAUUCCCCGUGAAGAUGCGGGGUUCCUGCGGUCAGACGGAAAGACCCCGUGCACCUUUACUGUAGCUUUGCGCUGGUAUUCGUGACUGUUUGUGUAGUUUGUGUAGAAUAGGUGGUAGGCUUUGAAGCCGUGGCGCCAGCCAUGGUGGAGCCGCAAUGUGAAAUACCACCCUAAUGGUUAUGGAUAUCUAACCGCGUUCCCUUAGCGGGAACCGGGACAGCGCAUGGUGGGCAGUUUGACUGGGGCGGUCGCCUCCCAAAGAGUAACGGAGGCGU
rnacentral:rRNA from 1 species